GCCUGGGAAAUCCCAUGGACAGAGGAGCCUAGUGGGCUACAGUCCAUGCGGUCGCAGAGUCGGACCCUAGUGAGAGACGGAACACACACAAACUGCGUAGUGUAUUCUAGCGCUGAUGAACGCCAGAGCUCCAAAACUGAGCUUUCCAGAUUCCAGACAGAGAAAUAUUAAUGAGCCUCAUCAUGCCUGGCUCAAAUGCCUAAGAAAACGUGGCAAGAUUUUCAAGAAAAGUGACUGGUUCAAGUGUGCUUUUAUUUGGCAUUUUUGUCCCCAAGAAAGCCAAAACAGGUUAUAACGAACACAAUGAUAAAAGGUGCAAUGAGCUUUACUAGUAAACCAGUGUCUACAGGCUCCAAGA